CUCAGGAUGCAGGCGGGUAGCUCAGGGUGCAGGGAGAGGGUAGCUGGGGGCUGUGUGCAUGGAGGGGGUAGCUCAGGGUGCAAGGAGGGGGUAGCUAG